UGGGUGGUAUAUUUCAUCUAAAGCUAAAUAUUGGCCAGAGACCGAUAGCGCACAAGUAGAGUGAUCGAAAGAUGAAAAGCACUUUGGAAAGAGAGUUAAACAGUACGUGAAAUUGUUGAAAGGGAAGCGCUUGCAAUCAGACUUGCGCUCGGGGUUCAGCGGGGCUUCUGCCCCGUGUACUUCCCCGCGCGCAGGCCAGCAUCGGUUUGGGUGGUUAGAUAAAGGCCUGGAGAAUGUGGCCCUCUUCGGGGGGUGUUAUAGCUCCAGGUGCAAUGUAGCCUACCUGGACCGAGGACCGCGCUUCGGCUAGGAUGCUGG
rnacentral:rRNA from 1 species